GUAAAUGUGAUGAGGGAGAACUUGCGCUCUAUGUCGUUUCAGAGAACCGGUGGGUGGUGUGAACCGGUACGAUGGGAAUGCAAACGUCGCUCCUGAACAGCAAGGCUGAACUGCAAAGUAAGCUGCGCCGGUCUCAGCUCCGAAAGGAGUGCAGUCGUUAUUCUGCUAGGGUUGUUUGACCUGAUGAGAGAUGCAGAUAGUUUUAUUUUAUCUGUAAAAAGGGUGGUACCGCGAGAAUUCUCUUGCCCCUUUA
rnacentral:ncRNA from 1 species